rnacentral:rRNA from 1 species
UACGUAGGGUGCAAGCGUUGUCCGGAAUUAUUGGGCGUAAAGAGCUCGUAGGCGGUCUGUCGCGUCGGCUGUGAAAACCCGGAGCUCAACUCCGGGCCUGCAGUCGAUACGGGCAAACUGGAGUGUUGCAGGGGAGGCUGGAAUUCCUGGUGUAGCGGUGAAAUGCGCAGAUAUCAGGAGGAACACCGGUGGCGAAGGCGGGUCUCUGGGCAUUUCCUGACGCUGAAGCGCGAAAGCUAGGGGAGCGAACGGG